AUUGAACGCUGGCGGCAGGCCUAACACAUGCAAGUCGAACGAAGUCUUCGGACUUAGUGGCGGACGGGUGAGUAACACGUGGGAACGUACCUUUUGGUUCGGAACAACUCAGGGAAACUUGAGCUAAUACCGGAUGAGCCCUUAGGGGAAAGAUUUAUCGCCGAAAGAGCGGCCCGCGUUAGAUUAGCUAGUUGGUGAGGUAAAGGCUCACCAAGGCUACGAUCUAUAGCUGGUCUGAGAGGAUGAUCAGCCACACUGGGACUGAGACACGGCACAGACUCCUACGGGAGGCAGCAGUGGGGAAUCUUGCGCAAUGGGCGAAAGCCUGACGCAGCCAUGCCGCGUGAAUGAUGAAGGUCUUAGGAUUGUAAAAUUCUUUUACCAGGGACGAUAAUGACGGUACCCGGAGAAAAAGCCCCGGCUAACUUCGUGCCAGCCGCCGCAGUAACAC
rnacentral:rRNA from 1 species